UACGGGGGGGGUAAGCGUUGUUCGGAAUUACUGGGCGUAAAGGGCUCGUAGGCGGCCAACUAAGUCGGACGUGAAAUCCCUCAGCUUAACUGGGGAACUGCGUCCGAUACUGGAUGGCUUGGAUUUGGGAGAGGGAUGCGGAAUUCCAGGUGUAGCGGUGAAAUGCGUAGAUAUCCGGAGGAACACCAGUGGCGUAGGCGGCCGGCUGGACCUGUCCUGACGCUGAGGCGCGAAGGCGUGGGGAGCGAACGGG
rnacentral:rRNA from 1 species